GAUGAACGCUGGCGGCGUGCCUAAUACAUGCAAGUCGAGCGAACAGACGAGGAGCUUGCUCCUCUGACGUUAGCGGCGGACGGGUGAGUAACACGUGGAUAACCUACCUAUAAGACUGGGAUAACUUCGGGAAACCGGAGCUAAUACCGGAUAAUAUAUUGAACCGCAUGGUUCAAUAGUGAAAGACGGUUUUGCUGUCACUUAUAGAUGGAUCCGCGCCGCAUUAGCUAGUUGGUAAGGUAACGGCCUACCAAGGCGACGAUGCGUAGCCGACCUGAGAGGGUGAUCGGCCACACUGGAACUGAGACACGGUCCAGACUCCUACGGGAGGCAGCAGUAGGGAAUCUUCCGCAAUGGGCGAAAGCUUGACGGAGCAACGCCGCGUGAGUGAUGAAGGUCUUCGGAUCGUAAAACUCUGUUAUUAGGGAAGAACAAAUGUGUAAGUAACUAUGCACGUCUUGACGGUACCUAAUCAGAAAGCCACGGCUAACUACGUG
rnacentral:rRNA from 1 species